CAGAGGCUGAGGGUUCUCAACCCUUUAGCUCAAGGAAGCCUGCUUCGGCACUGGUUAGAUCGAUGUGCUUUCUAAGCUGGGCACAAAUCACAUUUCAUGUUGAAGAGGCAAUAAAAACUUGAACUGGUUUUGUAUGCCCACUCUUCAUACGAUGACACCUUGCAGCUCAUCAAAGCCACCACAGGGAGCCUUCUCUUGUGAAUCAGCUGUAUUUACCUAAAAGAAAGAAUGUGUGACAGCAGUUCCUGUUGGAUCUGUGACAUCUGCUACUACAAUGCACAAUUGUCACCAUCUCAUCAAGCAUCAACACCUUUGCAAUUUCAGAGAUGAAACUAGGACUCAACCAUGAACUUCGGUAUGUUAAACAUCUAACUCCUAUUGAAAGGAUGGCACAUCAGGACACAACUGUCUACAAGACUCGGGUAGCAUUUGUUAAAAAUUGUUCUAAAUACACUUGUAAUUUGCUUUUUUCAUG